rnacentral:lncRNA from 1 species
UUGGCUAUUUGUAUUUCUUACUUUUGAGAAGUAUCUGUUAAGUUUUGGUGUUCUCAUUGUGAAUAGUUAAUGAAUGUCUGUGUGAUAUCUUCAGUUUGCCCCUUGGUGUGCAAAGCCUAAAAUAUCUGGCCCUUCAUAUUUUGUCUCCUUAGGUCUGUUUUGGCAGGUGCUCUCUUUGCAUUUAGGCAGCUGAAAAUGUGCCCAUGGGAGCAGUGUCUUCUGUGACCCAGCACAGAGGUGCUUGCUUAUGCCUUCCUUUAGUUUUUCCUUGGUAUUUUAAGCAUUUUUGCAUUCUGUUUCAAGAUCCAGUCUCUUUCUCUUUGUAUGUCACAUGCAUUUAGCUUUUGAAAUAUACCAAACUUGAGUCUUUUAAACUUGAGUAGUAUAUACAGUGUAUCUUGGGAAUUAAAUCAACACUGUCUCCUGUUUUAUUUGCUAAUAUCUUCCUCCUUAUGUUUUGUUCCCCUCUACCAAAGACUGUGGAAGGCAUCUUUACAUGCCCUCCUUCUGCCCCCUCCCAGGCCCUGCAAGAUGAUUGGCGUGUCUGCAUUUUGCAUGUCUGCAUUUUACAGUGAAGCAAUAUCCCCAGAUCCUAUAGGUAUCCAGUGGCAGUGUGUUGUUGAACAUUUCCUCCAGAAAUCUAAAGCAGGCAGAGCAUGAAAAGAGUCUGUAGACUAAAUCCUAGAUAUUGCAAGUUUAUCCUCAAUUAUUCUACAGUGGCAUGGUAGUUUUUCAGAGAAAUCGAGGGGAAACAUGUCUACUCUUAAUAGCAUCUAACUGGUUUUUAUUGUCCCAACUCUAAAAAAAAUCUUCCUACUCUUUAUAUUCUGACUGUUAACAGAUUGUGAAUGCCUUGAGGCCACGUGUGUGGACAGGUACUGUGGGUGCCUCACAGGGCAGGUGGUUUGGAAUUGUUUGUGAUAGGCUUUCUCUGGUGUUUCCCUUUUGUGUGCUUAGUCCACACUGUCAGUCCUCUGAGACUGUUUUGCCUCUGCGCGUCACGGUGGCUGGCAUGGUAGGUGCUCGUUGAGUUGAGUGAAUAAGUAGGUUGCAGCUGAGACUUUUUAGGGUGUAGGAACGCACACAGGUUUGAAUUUCAUUUCCUGUGUUCUGGUUGUCCAUUAACUGGGAUUUCUGUCAGUUUUUUGUCAUUAACUCUUCAUCUUUUGUUUCAGUGAGGGGUUUGUUAGGGUGUUCCGAUAGGGUCUUUGUCCGUGUAUAAUUUUGUAUCAUCAGCUCCAUUUCUUCCCUGGGAAAUUCAUCCAUUCUUUCCCUACUCUGUUGGUGGCUUCUUCCCCUGUUCCCUUCCUAUAUUAUGUCAAGUGCUUCUUCACUGCACAUACACCUUUAGGAACCUCUCCCCACAUCCAGCCGUGAUUGUUAGCUCUAGGAGUCAGUGCAGGAGAGUGGAGUGAAGGGGUUUGCGGAAUCGUAGCUUUCACUUCUGUAACCUAGUUUUCCCACUGGGCAGUAAUCAGAUUUUUAUCACCGUGACCAAAAUACCUGACAUGAACAACUUACAGGAGGAAAUCAGGCUGGUUUGGCUCACAGUUUCAGAGCUUUGGAGCUGUGGGUCCAUGGUUGGCUGGCUCCAUUGAUCUGACCCUGAGGUAAGGCGGUACAUCAUGGUGGAAGGGCGUGGUGGAGGAAAACCGCUCAGCAUUUGGUAGCUGGGAAGCAAGGAGAGGCAGGAAGGGACCA